rnacentral:lncRNA from 1 species
UUAAUUUUAUUAAUUUUUUUUUGACUUUUAAAUAUCUAUAUAUUAUUUCUUACAAUUUUAAAUUGAUGCAUUCUCUUCUUGAGAAUUUCAUCGUCGUUUUUUCUUUCUUCUAAUUUAUAUUAAAAAUAUUUUUUAAAAUGACAGAAAACAGUAAAAAACUUUUUUUUUCUUAUAAAAUAUGAAAGAAUUAUUUGAUCAUUUCACCCUCUACAUUAUCGCCGUAACCUUCUAAAAUUAUUUCUAAAAUUUUGAGAAAUACAAGUUUUUAAAA